AUCUUCAAGAAAACAGUGUAGAUAUGUCCAUAUAAACUGUGUAGAUAUACAUGUUAACAGUGCAGAUAUCUAUAUUAACACUGUAGAUAUCUCUGCAUUAAAAAUGUAGAUAUCUCCAUGUAUACAGUGCAGAUAUCUCCAUAUAAACUGUGUAGAUAUCCAUUAUUAACAGCGUAGAUAUCUGUACAUGACAAAUGUAGAUAUCUCCACUUAAACAGUGUAGAUAUGUCCAUAUAAAAUGUGUAGAUAUCCAUUAUUAACAGCGUAGAUAUCUGUACAUUACAAAUGUAGAUAUCUCCACUAAACAGUGCAGAUAUCUCCAUAUAAACUGUGUAGAUAUCUAUUAUUAACAGCGUAGAUAUCCGUACAUUACAAAUGUAGAUAUCUCCACUUAAACAGUGUAUAUACUUGUUCCCUAUUUAUCUGUGAUCAACUGAAUGUGCUAUGCAGUAUAAAUGUCGUCAUGUGUUUGUAUGUCAAGUGUGAUCAAUGAUGUGAACAUCUUUUCCCCAAGGGCUGUCACUGAUUGUCAGUUUUAGCAUUGAUACAUCAAACCAUAAUGUUACAAAGUGAAAGUAGAUUUUCAGUUUGUUAGUGAGUUAUUAAAGAUUUUAAUGAUUGUCAUUUUUUUUUUUAACAUGGGAUUUUUUAUAUUUUUUAUUUCAAAAUGGUCAUGUCUUAAGCAGUAGUUACCAUUUUAAACACCUGGAGGAUUAAAAUAUAAAAACAUCCAUAUGUAAAAUGUGUUUCAGAGAUCGAGCAGUCUUCAACAAACAUAGUUAAAACGUCAAAUUGAAGUAUUUAAAUAGUAGUAGUUUCUGUUUUACUAUAUACCCUACUUUGCUGCUGUUGUAGUGUAAACAAUCUGUAUUAUAUGCAAUAAGAUGCAGAAUGUCUUGUCUUCAUUGGGGCACUCAUAAAGAUACCUUUGUGAUAGAUUGACUAGAGGUUUCUCAGAUGCCAUGUAAUGGAGUAGGGCACUUAUAUGAGGUAUGGUUAUUGGCGUUUUCCUCUCUCUGUCCUAGUGGUUAAAAGUGGGUGCUAAAUCACGCUGAAUGCCCAGGUUCGAUUCCCCACAUGGGUGCAAUGUGUGAAGCCCAUUUCUGGUGUCCCCCGCUGUGAUAUUGCUGGGAGUAAAACUAAACUCACUCACUCUUGUCUGUGUGUACUAGGAGGGCACAGUCAUCUGUGACAAUUCUGUCAUCUCACCAAAUAUGCAAAACAUGACAAUUGCAAAUUGAAAUACAAUACAAGCC